AUUGAACGCUGGCGGCAGGCCUAACACAUGCGAGUCGAGCGGAUGAAGGGAGCUUGCUCCUGGAUUCAGCGGCGGACGGGUGAGUAAUGCCUAGGAAUCUGCCUGGUAGUGGGGGAUAACGUCCGGAAACGGGCGCUAAUACCGCAUACGUCCUGGGAGAAAGUGGGGGAUCUUCGGACCUCACGCUAUCAGAUGAGCCUAGGUCGGAUUAGCUAGUUGGUGGGGUAAAGGCCUACCAAGGCGACGAUCCGUAACUGGUCUGAGAGGAUGAUCAGUCACACUGGAACUGAGACACGGUCCAGACUCCUACGGGAGGCAGCAGUGGGGAAUAUUGGACAAUGGGCGAAAGCCUGAUCCAGCCAUGCCGCGUGUGUGAAGAAGGUCUUCGGAUUGUAAAGCACUUUAAGUUGGGAGGAAGGGCAGUAAGUUAAUACCUUGCUGUUUUGACGUUACCAACAGAAUAAGCACCGGCUAACUUCGUG
rnacentral:rRNA from 1 species